rnacentral:rRNA from 1 species
AGUUUGAUCCUGGCUCAGGACGAACGCUGGCGGCGUGCUUAACACAUGCAAGUCGAACGAGAAGAGAUGAGAAGCUUGCUUCUUAUUGAUUCGAGUGGCAAACGGGUGAGUAACGCGUAAGCAACCUGCCCUCUAGAUGGGGACAACAGCUGGAAACGGCUGCUAAUACCGAAUACGUUCUUUCUGUCGCAUGGCAGAGGGAAGAAAGGGAGGCUCUUCGGAGCUUUCGCUGGAGGAGGGGCUUGCGUCUGAUUAGCUAGUUGAAGGGGUAACGGCCCACCAAGGCGACGAUCAGUAGCCGGUCUGAGAGGAUGAACGGCCACAUUGGGACUGAGACACGGCCCAGACUCCUACGGGAGGCAGCAGUGGGGAAUCUUCCGCAAUGGACGAAAGUCUGACGGAGCAACGCCGCGUGAACGAUGACGGCCUUCGGGUUGUAAAGUUCUGUUAUACGGGACGAAUGGUACGACGGUCAAUACCCGUCGUAAGUGACGGUACCGUAAGAGAAAGCCACGGCUAACUACGUGCCAGCAGCCGCGGUAAUACGUAGGUGGCAAGCGUUGUCCGGAAUUAUUGGGCGUAAAGGGCGCGCAGGCGGCGUCGUAAGUCGGUCUUAAAAGUGCGGGGCUUAACCCCGUGAGGGGACCGAAACUGCGAUGCUAGAGUAUCGGAGAGGAAAGCGGAAUUCCUAGUGUAGCGGUGAAAUGCGUAGAUAUUAGGAGGAACACCAGUGGCGAAAGCGGCUUUCUGGACGACAACUGACGCUGAGGCGCGAAAGCCAGGGGAGCAAACAGGAUUAGAUACCCUGGUAGUCCACGCCGUAAACGAUGAGUGCUAGGUGUUGGCCAGAGAUGGUCGGUGCCGCAGCAAACGCAAUAAGCACUCCACCUGGGGAGUACGACCGCAAGGUUGAAACUCAAAGGAAUUGACG